UGUAAGUUCUGGUACAUCAAGUGAGUUAAACAACUCUACCGUCACUCUACUGUCUCUAGAACUAUGAGCUAAACUUCGAUUCAAAAAGCCUGUGGUCAAAGUCUACUGUAGAGUUGGUAUUAUGCAAGACAUUCGGCAGCGCAUAAAACGCCAUGAAUGUAACACAGCACGAUCGCGACGGCCUCGUCAUCCUAGGAAUUCCAGAUCCGUAUGUCGCGCCACGUUACCAACGCAGUACUCGUCACGACAUCCACCUCUUGAUCACGAACGGGCAGUCGGUGAUGAAGGUUUGGGAAACCUGCAGCUGUCGCCGAUUGCAAGCUCGGAACUACGUAUCUGUCGUGCACGUGACAAUUGUAGUUCAUUAUCACAAUAUUUAAAUUCAAUUUGUGGUAACAGGUGAAAUAGAUUUCCAAGCUGCAGGGCUAGCGACAGCUGCAGGUAGCGUACCCACUUCCAAGCGACAGGUGCAUGCUUUUGAACAAUCGUGACAAUGGGCUGCCCCGUGGCGCUGGGACUUCUAGCUAAACGACAGAUUCUUUUUUGAUUGAAAUAAGUCAAAUUAUCGAUGGGAAGUCGAUUCUACCUGAAAGCAGAAGAAGACGACUGCCAUCGAGGGCACUAAAUG